CAGUAGCCGCGGUAAUACGUAGGGCGCGAGCGUUGUCCGGAAUCAUUGGGCGUAAAGCGCGUGUAGGCGGCUGAGUAAGUCUGCUGUGAAAGUCCAGGGCUCAACCCUGGAAUGUCGGCGGAUACUGCUCAGCUGGAGUACGGGAGGGGCGAGUGGAAUUCCUGGUGUAGCGGUGGAAUGCGCAGAUAUCAGGAGGAACACCUAUGGCGAAGGCAGCUCGCUGGAACGUUACUGACGCUGAGACGCGAAAGCGUGGGGAGCAAACAGGAUUAGAUACCCGCGUAGUCCCUGUCUCUUAUAA
rnacentral:rRNA from 1 species